rnacentral:rRNA from 1 species
GACGAACGCUGGCGGCGUGCUUAACACAUGCAAGUCGAACGGAAAGGCCCUGCUUUUGUGGGGUGCGCGAGUGGCGAACGGGUGAGUAACACGUGAGUAACCUGCCCUUGACUUUGGGAUAACUUCAGGAAACUGGGGCUCAUACCGGAUAGGUGCUCCUGCUGCAUGGUGGUGGUUGGAAAGGUUCGGCGGUGGGGGAUGGACUCGCGGCUUAUCAGCUUGUUGGUGGGGUAGUGGCUUACCAAGGCUUUGACGGGUAGCCGGCCUGAGAGGGUGACCGGCCACAUUGGGACUGAGAUACGGCCCAGACUCCUACGGGAGGCAGCAGUGGGGAAUAUUGCACAAUGGGCGGAAGCCUGAUGAAGCAACGCCGCGUGCGGGAUGACGGCCUUCGGGUUGUAAACCGCUUUCGCCUGUGACGAAGCGUGAGUGACGGUAAUGGGUAAAGAAGCACCGGCUAACUACGUG